ACGGAGGGGGUUAGCGUUGUUCGGAAUUACUGGGCGUAAAGCGCACGUAGGCGGAUCAGAAAGUUGGGGGUGAAAUCCCGGGGCUCAACCCCGGAACUGCCUCCAAAACUCCUGGUCUUGAGUUCGAGAGAGGUGAGUGGAAUUCCGAGUGUAGAGGUGAAAUUCGUAGAUAUUCGGAGGAACACCAGUGGCGAAGGCGGCUCACUGGCUCGAUACUGACGCUGAGGUGCGAAAAGGGGGAAACAGGAUUAGAUACCGUAC
rnacentral:rRNA from 1 species